ensembl:snRNA U1 U1 spliceosomal RNA
AUAAUUUCCUGGCAGGGAGAUGGCAUGACUAUCAUGGUCAUUGUCCCAGGGAUAGGCUUAUAUAUUGUGUUCUAUAUGUACUGACCCUGUGAUGUCCCCAAAGUGGGAAACUUCAUUGAGUCAUGUGGUGAUGGGGGAAAGCACUCACACUCUCACCUA